GGAAUUUUGAAGAAGAAGCUGUGCCCCCAGUCAUGUUCCCAGAUAAGCCCUCGACAUCUCUGCUAUUAAUUCUGUUUCUUUAGCAUGUUUUCAAACUCCACGAAAGCAGUUUUUCCUUAAGAGUAUUUUUCUUUGGAAUUAAGUCUUUUAUCUUUGUCUUGACUUGUGUAUCAGUCAAUGAUUAGCCGUUUGUUAAUGUUAUCUUUUGUGUACUAAAGCGUGAGAUUGUUUAGAGUAAUUAAAUCAUGGGAUGUCUCCCAUACUCAUCUUACUGCUGAUAUGCUUUUCAUCUAGGUGAUAAAAGCUAGACAGACAUUAAUCCACAUCAAAUUGUCUCAUGAUAACUUGAAAAAUUAUGAGAGAAUGUUAUCUAAUCAUGAAAAUAAGUUAAAUUCUUCCUUUUCUAUAGGCAAGAGGGUUUUUUUUUUCCCCCCUCUAUUUACAAAGCAGACAGAAAAUCAGUGAGAAGGGCCAUUUUUCUAUUCCGUUAUGGGACACAUGAUAUAUUUAUUGUUUUGAAGAUUUGUUUUUUAGAGCCGAUUUGUCAAAAGGACAGCCUGACCCGUGUCUUCUCUGCAUGGCAACUGAAUGCCAAACAAACGUCUCCUUUAUCCCAAAGACAUCGUUCUGUACUAUUUGGGGAGAGGAUGAUGCUUAACUUAGCAGCAGGAACUUACUUGACGGGAGUACCUUCUGAUGGGAAGCUUAUUUCACAGACCUCUGUAGAGAAGAUGUUCUGAGGAACAUUUCAUCUGGGUUGUCAAUACCUUUGUAAUCUAUACCACUGAGAGUCUUGGGGUUGAAUAUUUUGCUUAAGACGAUCUGGUAUUGUCACCAGGAUUUUCUCACAAGCCAUUGACGCCCCUUCUGUACAUGGAGAUACCCAUGAAGAGAUGAUGACAACUACACCAUGACUGCCACUGGGCCAGCGGCAGUUAUGAUGUGCACCCAAUUUCAGAGAUGCAAAAAGGUGAGAAAUACACAUUUUAGAAUCUAUCAAGUAUGGAAAUGUUAUCCCUGGUCAUAGUCUAGGUGCAUUUUUCCAUUUAAAAUAAAAUUGUUUUUCUCCCAUGACCUAGGGGAUUU
rnacentral:lncRNA from 1 species